CCCUUAGAUGUUCUGGGCUGCACGCGUGUUACAAUCGGGAGUACAACAAGAUUGCAAAUCCUAGUGGAUGAGUGGUUCUUCGAAAUUUUCUGAAGACUGGGAUAGUUGAUUGAAAUUAUUCAACUCGAACGAGGAAUUCCUUGUAAUUGUAAUUCAUUAUAUUGUAAUGAAUACGUCCCUGCCCUUUGUACACACCGCCCGUCGCUCCUACCGAUUGAACGUUCCGAUGAAUACCAUGGAUUGAGAGUCUGAAUGGGUUCGCCUAUUUCUGCUUCUCGAGAAGUGGAGUAAACCUUAUCACUUAGAGGAAGGAGAAGUCGUAACA
rnacentral:rRNA from 1 species